GCGGAUGUAGCUCAGUGGUAGAGCAUCUCCUUGCCAAGGAGAAAGUCGAGAGUUCGAAUCUCUUCAUCCGCU
rnacentral:tRNA from 5 species